GCCCGUUUGGCUUAGCGGUAAAGCGCAUCACUAGUAGUCUUCCGAAAGGUAAACAAAUAGAUCAAUGAUGAGAUCCUAGGUUCGAUUCCUAGAACGGGCA